GCCGGCUUAGCUCAGUUGGUUAGAGCGCUAGAUUGUGGAUCUAGAGGUCGCUGGUUCGAGACCAGCAGCUGGUACCA
rnacentral:tRNA from 3 species